CAAAUCAAUUGGGAUUCUUUUUCAUAAUUCUAGUAGUCCCAUACCAAAUAUUUGAAAGUCCUCAACAACAUUAAAAAUGUAGUAGUGUGCUUUACUCCGAAAAAAGCCACACAAUGACCCAUGAAACUCCACCAUACUCUAUGAUUUAAAUAUCAUGAUCAUUAUAGUAAUGCAACAUAAGUCGGACAAAAAUACAUUUAGGCAGUGUCUACUUCACAUAUUAGGGAAUCAAAAUUCGAAAUUGGAAUCAUUGACAGGGUUUUCUUCGCAAAAUAGAGGCAAGAAUCGAAAUUGAAAUCGUUGGACCACCUAAAUUUGGAAAUGGAGAAUGGGAGAUUGAUUCCCAAGACCCCCUGAGAAUUUGACCCAAGUAAGUGAUCUUUUCUCUCCCUACGUCAAAUUUGAGAAAAUAACAUUAGGAGUUCAUUCUUUCUUUGUUCUUUUCAUUUUUAAAGUCUUUCAAUUAAACUAGCUAUAAUCAAGGCUCAAUAACUUAAUACACAUUAAUCCAUUAAACCGAAACAAAUUACUUGAGCAUCGAAGGAUUUAACGUCGAAAAAAUUCCCAACUUUCUCUUAAUCGUUUAUUGUGAACGUAGAUAUUUUUAUGGGAAGCACUUGUGAUCGCUUGUGUUUGCUCCAAUGAGUAGGAAGUUUAUGGUCAAGAUCAUCUGUCCCACCAUUAUAAAUUUUAUGUGUUGACGUAGGCAUCUAGUUAUUGCUCAACACGAUCAUAGUUCAACAUCAACAGUAUUGAUUUCAAAUAUAGUAUUGUUUUUAUAUAUUUUAUAAUAUAAUUCAAAAUCUUUACUAAUAAUUUAAUAAAUAUUUAAUUUCAGGGAUCCUAAUAUCUACUUGAGUUAAUUGAUGUAUCAUUCAUCAAUUAGAUAGUAGAAUAAUAUUAUAUAAUAAUUAUGCAUUUAUCAUCCAAUAAAUGAGUAGAAAAUAUAAAAAUAUAUAUAGUUGUUAGCCAAAUCUCUACCUUGUAGGCCAUGAUUUCGUGGUAUCUUAUAAAUUUUAAAGAUUAGGGAUUGCACCCUAGACGGCUCUUCCCCUAAGCAACUUAGGCAAUCGCCCAGGGCCCACUAUAGAUGAAGGCCCUUA
rnacentral:lncRNA from 1 species